rnacentral:lncRNA from 1 species
UUUUAGGGAGAAAAGAGCAUUUGGUGGCAUUGAACUGCUCGGCCGGGCAGCCCUCGGAAGGGGACUGUGUCCCAGGGCCUUUGAGUAGCUUUGGGGCUGUUCUCCUGUCCCAGAUCCUUGCCUGCCCGAUACCCAAGUUUCCCCUCCACCUCCACCGCAAUUGCUGUUAGAUCAAUUCAGGAACAUUCUAUUCAGAAACCAGCCAUGGCCAAGUCACUUCCUGGCCCCCAAGAAGCUUCGAGGCCACCUUCCAUCAGAGGAAUAUCAGAAGCGGCACAUCCUGAGGGCCUCCGCACCAGGCUCAGGAGCAGUUGGGUCUUCCCUUCCCGCCCACGGCGGUGAGCUCGGGCACCCCUCGGAGGAUCUGAACUAAUUUCUCAGCUGUAAUCUACACCACCCACCACCUAGGAGCUUCCCAGAAACGUCCAGCAGGGGAGGGGGCGGGCGAGUAGCAACGCUCUGACUCUUGGCAGGGCCUGCCCAGCGGCCGACUCCACUUCCAGGCUGUUCUGGCUUCAUAAUUCACUUAGACGAUCUCCUCGAAAUAAGCAAAAAAUAUUGGCAGCAAACGGUUGGAUGAAAAGGUCCCAGUUUUACGAGAGGACAGAAUGAAUGUGCUGCGGGAUCGGCCCGCAGAGGGAGGGCAUGGGUGAGGGUGCUUGUGGCGGCCACGAGCACUGGCGUGGUCUUCACGUUUCCAUAUCUUCUUCAUCCUGCAUGGUUUUUUCAUUAGUUUGUUCUUAAAAAAAAAUCAUAUUAGGAAAUUUAAAUGCAUGUUACCAAGUGACAGAAGCUGGUUGCACCUGUACGACCUCCUGGAAAAGGCACGACCGUGGAGGCAGUAAAAAGAGGAGUUUUUGCUUGGGACUAGAGGGGAGGGAGGGACGAGUACGCAGAACAGAGGGCAGCUUUAGGGCAGUGACACUACUCCGUAUGACACUGCACUGGUAGAUGUCAUCGUGCAUUUGUCUAAACUCAAAGAAGGUACAACAGCAAGAGUGAGCCCUAAGGUAAGCCAUGGAUUUGGGGUGAUGAUGAUGUGUCCGUAGAAUCAUCCAUUAUGACGAAUGUACCGCUGGUGGGGAUCUUGAUCACGGGGACAUCUGUGCAUGUGUAGGACAGGGGCAUUUGGGAAAUCUCUGUACCUGCCUCUCGGUUUUGCCACGAAACUAAACUGGCUCUGAAAAGUGAAGCCUAGCAAAAAUAUAUCACACUAAAAUGUAAUUUUUUUUUUUUACUAAAAUGUUAUUUAUCUGGGAAGUUACUAGAAUAUGGGUGUAGAGUAUUAGUUUUGCAAAAUGACAAGUGUUCUGGGGAUGGAUAGUGGUGAUGGUUGCGCAGGUGCUUGCCACUGAACCAUGUUCUUAAAAACG